UACGGGGGGGGCAAGCGUUGUUCGGAAUUACUGGGCGUAAAGGGCUCGUAGGCGGCCAACUAAGUCAGACGUGAAAUCCCUCGGCUCAACCGGGGAACUGCGUCUGAGACUGGAAGGCUUGAAUCCGGGAGAGGGAUGUGGAAUUCCAGGUGUAGCGGUGAAAUGCGUAGAUAUCUGGAGGAACACCGGUGGCGAAGGCGGCAUCCUGGACCGGUAUUGACGCUGAGGCGCGAAAGCCAGGGGAGCAAACGGG
rnacentral:rRNA from 1 species